rnacentral:rRNA from 1 species
AUUGAACGCUGGCGGCAUGCUUUACACAUGCAAGUCGAACGAGUGGCGCACGGGUGAGAAAUACAUCGGAAAGUGUCCUAUCGUGGGGGGUAACUCAUCGAAAGAUCAGCUAAUACCGCAUACGACAGGAGCGGCCGCUGCCCGAUUGGCUAGUUGGUGUGGUAAAGGCUCACCACGGCGACGAUCGGUAGCUGGUCUGAGAGGACGACCAGCCACACUGGGACUGAGACACGGUCCAGACUCCUACGGGAGGCAGCAGUGGGGAAUUUUGUACAAUGGGGGCAACCCUGAUGCAGCCAUGCCGCGUGGAGGAUGAAGGUCUGCGGGUUGUAAACUGCUUUUGGCAGGGAAGCGGUACCUGAAGAAGAAGCACCGGCUAACUACGUGCCAGCCGCCGCGGUAAUAC